UACGUAGGGCGCAAGCGUUAUCCGGAAUUAUUGGGCGUAAAGAGCUCGUAGGCGGUUUGUCGCGUCUGCCGUGAAAGUCCGGGGCUCAACUCCGGAUCUGCGGUGGGUACGGGCAGACUAGAGUGAUGUAGGGGAGACUGGAAUUCCUGGUGUAGCGGUGAAAUGCGUAGAUAUCUGGAGGAAUACCGGUGGCGAAGGCGGCAUCCUGGACCGACAUUGACGCUGAACGGCGAAAGCUAGGGGAGCAAACGGG
rnacentral:rRNA from 1 species